GACGAACGCUGGCGGCGUGCUUAACACAUGCAAGUCGAACGGAAAGGCCCUGCUUUUGUGGGGUGCUCGAGUGGCGAACGGGUGAGUAACACGUAAGUAACCUGCCCUUGACUUUGGGAUAACUUCAGGAAACUGGGGCUAAUACCGGAUAGGAGCUCCUGCUGCAUGGUGGGGGUUGGAAAGUUUCGGCGGUUGGGGAUGGACUCGCGGCUUAUCAGCUUGUUGGUGGGGUAGUGGCUUACCAAGGCUUUGACGGGUAGCCGGCCUGAGAGGGUGACCGGCCACAUUGGGACUGAGAUACGGCCCAGACUCCUACGGGAGGCAGCAGUGGGGAAUAUUGCACAAUGGGCGGAAGCCUGAUGCAGCAACGCCGCGUGCGGGAUGACGGCCUUCGGGUUGUAAACCGCUUUCGCCUGUGACGAAGCGUGAGUGGCGGUAAUGGGUAAAGAAGCACCGGCUAACUACGUG
rnacentral:rRNA from 1 species